GACGAACCGUGCUAACGUUGUUCGGAUUCACUGGGCUUAAAGGGCGCGUAGGCGGGCAACCAAGUCAGGGGUGAAAUCUUUCGGCUCAACCGGAAAAGCGCCCCUGAUACUGGUCGCCUCGAGGGGGGUAGGGGCGGACGGAACUUCCGGUGGAGCGGUGAAAUGCGUAGAUAUCGGAAGGAACGCCGGUGGCGAAAGCGGUCCGCUGGACCCCUUCUGACGCUGAGGCGCGAAAGCCAGGGGAGCAAACGGG
rnacentral:rRNA from 1 species